ACAUGCAAGUAGAACGCUGAAGGAGGAGCUUGCUUCUCUGGAUGAGUUGCGAACGGGUGAGUAACGCGUAGGUAACCUGCCUGGUAGCGGGGGAUAACUAUUGGAAACGAUAGCUAAUACCGCAUAAUAGUAGAUGUUGCAUGACAUUUGCUUAAAAGGUGCAAUUGCAUCACUACCAGAUGGACCUGCGUUGUAUUAGCUAGUUGGUGGGGUAACGGCUCACCAAGGCGACGAUACAUAGCCGACCUGAGAGGGUGAUCGGCCACACUGGGACUGAGACACGGCCCAGACUCCGACGGGAGGCAGCAGUAGGGAAUCUUCGGCAAUGGACGGAAGUCUGACCGAGCAACGCCGCGUGAGUGAAGAAGGUUUUCGGAUCGUAAAGCUCUGUUGUAAGAGAAGAACGAGUGUGAGAGUGGAAAGUUCACACUGUGACGGUAUCUUACCAGAAAGGGACGGCUAACUACGUGCCAGCAGCCGCGGUAAUACGUAGGUCCCGAGCGUUGUCCGGAUUUAUUGGGCGUAAAGCGAGCGCAGGCGGUUAGAUAAGUCUGAAGUUAAAGGCUGUGGCUUAACCAUAGUACGCUUUGGAAACUGUUUAACUUGAGUGCAAGAGGGGAGAGUGGAAUUCCAUGUGUAGCGGUGAAAUGCGUAGAUAUAUGGAGGAACACCGGUGGCGAAAGCGGCUCUCUGGCUUGUAACUGACGCUGAGGCUCGAAAGCGUGGGGAGCAAACAGGAUUAGAUACCCUGGUAGUCCACGCCGUAAACGAUGAGUGCUAGGUGUUAGACCCUUUCCGGGGUUUAGUGCCGCAGCUAACGCAUUAAGCACUCCGCCUGGGGAGUACGACCGCAAGGUUGAAACUCAAAGGAAUUGACGGGGGCCCGCACAA
rnacentral:rRNA from 1 species